AGGAGAUGUCUCGGAGCCUCAGCCGAGUCGGGGGGUGACGGGAAGGUGUCGCGGCCCCGGGGGACGAGGGGGUCUGCGGGAACCGGCUGGCCCAGGUCCCCCCAGCUGUGCAGCCCAGCUGCAGACCCCGCUUCCCCGCGAAGCCCGCGCACUUCACCUCGUCGGAGCUUCCUCCGCUCCUUUUUACUGUUCUGUUCUUUCUAGGGCAUAAGAGAGUCGAUCUGACUCAGUGUUAUUAUUAAUCCCAUAUGUAGCUUAUGAGGGGAGGAAAAAGCAGUAAUUAAGUGCAGUCAUAAGUUAAAAGAAUUGAACGUGUUUCUUGCUUGCCUAAUAUCUGGCAAGCACCUUGUGUUUACUCAGUCAUCUGCCUCUCCGAUUUGGCUGAAUCGAGAGUUUUUCAAAACCAACGUGAGCGCACGCGCACUGCCCGGGGGCUCCCGGGGGUCGGGCCCCCCCGCCGUCGCCGCGUCCCGGGCGUCGGGGCUCCCGCAGAGGCACCCGUGCAUCCUCGCCGCCCCCAGCGCCGCGGGGUUUCUCGUGCAAGAGCCCCAGAAAAUAGGUUUCAGGUUCAAAUCCGAGAAGAGAUGAAGCUCCCCAGGAAAAGAGAAGCUAACAGGAAAGACCGAGAACUUGACAGAGGCUGCGGGGAAAAGGCAGCUGAGCGGGGACGCCGGGGCGGGCUGAAGCUCGGGGAGCAGGAGGUGGGGAUCCGUCGCUGAUAGCCAUCACUAACGGAAAACCAGAGGGCAGGCUUUUAUGCUGCAGAAUGGAAAAAAUCAAGCUAAAUACUAGGAAAAGGUUAUAUAGGCCUAAACCAGGAGAAAAAACGGCCAGCGAAGCAAGUUGUGAAGGAAGAGGAGGCCGGCGCUGGCAGGGGACGUCAGGAGGAUGCUCGCCGCUGCAGAGAGGGGAGGGAAAACCCUGAUCACCAAGAACGACUUUCACCUGCGGAAGUGCCAACGCGGCAGGCCUGACCUCGCCGGCGCCAGGUGCCUGCGGUUCCUGUGCUAGGUCCCUGCUCCGCACCGCGCUGCGGGGCCGGCCCCGGGGAGAGGCUGCCGUCGCUCCCCCUUGGUCCUCGGGCCCUCGCCGCAGCCAGGGGAAGCUGACAAAGAUCAAUACCAGCCUGCAAAAGACAUUGCCCUCUUAAGAAUUAGCCCUUUGCAGAAUCAUUAAUCCAGGAAGCUGUUACAGGGUGACAAGAGCGUGGAGGCUCUGCCAGGGCUUGGAGGGAUCGCAGGAGCAUCGCCUUAUGCACAGAAAAACAAACCCAAACGAAAUCAAGGAACAGAGCUGCCAUCCUACCUGCUCGCUCUGCCAGAGGAGCUGACUUUAAUUAAGAAAGGCUGGUUGUGCUCCUGACAAGUGCCAUUAAAGAAACCUCGGGUUUUGCUGCCCUUUCACUUCAGCAGGUGCGUGCGGAGCUGGAGCAGCUGAGCGAAGCCGCGUUGCAGCUCGUGCCGUGCUCUGCAGCCCGGUUGGGCAACGCGGAGCGCGCUCCCGAUGCAGGCUGGCUGCGGGGGCUGCUGCCCCUCUUGCUGAUAGGGACAGAGUGAUACAAAAUCAUUCUGCUGGAUAAAACAAGGCUGUCAUUUUCAUGUUUGACUGCUCUUCCCUAUUGCCAUCUCUUCCACGUGUCCCGGCCCUUCCCUCUGUUCCGGCCAGCGCAGCGGAGGCCGGAACGGGACGAAACACCAGGGACGAGCUUGAACCUGCCACGGAGCCCGCAGCGCGGAGUCAGAGAGACCCUGACACUGCGAUUUAUUGGACUAACUAAUCUCCCGGAGGAAAAGAUAGAUGCCCCAUCCCCUGAAAUAUUUAACGGCUUAAUUCUGCACAAAGCACUUAUGUAUACGCUGUGACGAUCGGGCGCUCGGGAACAAAUGACGAGCACAGUGCGAGAACCUGCACGGAAAAGAUUAAAGGGAAAUGGCUGAAGGACGAAAAAUAUUAACAAGUGGGCGUCUUCUCUGCCCGUGUCUCGUUGACUUGGCUUCGCUUAGCCUUGACUUCGGCUGCGAGAGUCCGGGGUUGGCAGAUGCUCACUCCUGCAGGGAGGAAACCGCAGAGUCGGAGCACCGCUGCCCUUGCGGGGGAAGACGUCGGGGCGCAGGGAAACGAAGAAAUCCCAGCGCUGGGGUGAAGGAGACGGGAUUUUUCAGGAGGACCACGGCUGCAGCCCUUGAAGGACUCGCCCGCAGCAGAAGGCACCAGGCAGCGCUUUGCAGCCUGUUGCAGCGCUGGACGAGCCCACGGGCUGCGGACGCCGGUGCUCGCGGGCCGGUGCGGCUCGGGCAGCUCAGGGUUUCUGUUUCGAGCGGCAUCGAGGGCGCACGGCCCGAGCGCUGCCGUCCCCGCGACCACAGCUCCCAGCGGUGCUUCCGCGCUCGGCGAGCUCCCGGCAGGAGCGGGCAGCGCGUGCCGGAGUAACCGCGUGCUCCCGGGCUCUGCAGCUGGCUCUGGGAAGCAGCUCAGCGGGGCCUGAGCUCAGUAAAACGUUUAAGCUCACGGCUCUGUUCAAGCUCGGGAAGAGCAGGCCUGGGUCUAGGCGCGUGUUCGCUGCGCGGCAGGGAUGAGCCGCUCGCCCGAGGCCGCGGUGUCGGGGGACGCAGGACACGGAGCAGCCAGACGCUCGGGGGGUGAUUAACCCGUCCGAACUCAGCGGGACGAUUCACACGCUCGGGACGAAGCACCGGCAGGUCGUGAUCUGGCGUGGCGGGAUCAGGGCUCGCUGAACGUGGCCCCCGUGAAGAGGUGGUAAUUUAAAAUGUCUAACCCCAGGAAGCCUCCGCACCCGCCGAGGUGGUGCCCGGCCAGACCCUGCCCCGCGAGCCUGCAAGCGGCACGUGCACGUGGCGAGCAGCGGGCUUAACGUGAGCGAGAUAACACAUAUGAGACUAUUUAACUAAGAAGAAAAAAAUCGCAGCACAAAUUGCCGAAAGCUGAAACGGCGACACGUCUAGUUAGCAGCUAGAAAUGGAAAAAUAAUUUCCAACACGGCGUUUGUCACAACACUGAGGGGUCACCUGCCAGGCGAGGGGAGGCGAGGAGAAACCGUUCCCAGGUGUAAUUACGGUUUCCGCCAAGUUUCCCCGCGCUCUGUGGCUGCGGGAGGCUGGUGACGGGCACCCGGCGCCUCGGCAGCGGCGAGAGCAGCGCAACAGAGCUGCGAUUUACAGCGUGGCAACCGCCACUCAGAAAUUACUUGGAAGUUAUUACUAAUCGGUGCAGAUUCGGCCCAGCCCCUUUGGCUGAUAAACGCGGCAGGAACGGUUAUCGGUGAUCUCGCGUGCUCCCGGCCUCGACCCUGCCGGUCCCGCGUGAGCCCGGCGCUGGCGGCCCCGGGUCGAGCCAUCCCGCGUGGCAGAGGCACACGGGCUCCGCGGCUCAUCCCAGCAACCUGCUUCCUCUGCUGCCCGAAAUCUCUCCUGUUUCUGGCCUGGAUGGGCUGAGCUUUGGCUUCCAGGUGUUGGAUUUUGCUUUGGGUCUGCCCUGGUGAAGACCCUCCGCUGCCGGAAGGCUCCCUUAGGAGGUAGCGAUGAAGAGGGAGAAGCUGCCUGAUCACCUUUUCCUUAAUAAACUGGAUUAUUGAAAAUGCUCUAGAGCCGGUACUAGGAGGCACAGGGCAGUCUGAGCUGUGAGUCACUGCUCCAUCCAGAAAACUGGGGUGCAAAACCUCGCCGUGGUCCUCGUGUCCCCGCAGACCUGGAGGGGGAGGCAGGACGUUUUUCAAGGGCCGCACGGGAGGUUUUUGGGCUCUGCACCCCAGAGACACCGCAGCCUGACUUGGGGUGAGGGGGUUUCUUUCUGGUGUUAUUUUUCCAGCGUGUUCCAUUCCCUCCAUUGCAUAUCGCCGCGCUGAGACCAGCACAGGCUAGAAGAGGCAAAUUUUUGACAAAAAAGCUCCUCUCAGCUCUCUGUAAUUCCAUUUUCUGCCAGCACGGAAAUGCGCAGCUCUUUCACGUCAGGCAGCUGCUUGUGUUCGGGAGAAUUAAAAAAAAAUCGCACUUUUUUUCAUUUGUGCUGAUUUGCAUAUUAAUAGUUUGCAUAUUAAACAACUACUUCAGAGGGUGGGCGGGCUAAUGAAUGCAGCAGUCUCCUCUAUUUUAACUCAAUUUGCCUCAUCCAUAUUCCAAUGACUUUGGGGAUUGGUAUUCAGUUUUCAUUGAAAUUAUCCAAGCCAGACCUAAUUUGUGCUGCCCUUCCAUUAAUCCAAUUAAUUAGCACCAUUGAUGUGUACUGCCUUUGUAAUGCAGCUUUGUUCAGCACUGCUGCCGCUAAUGACAGCCUAGUAUCAGAGCAAAUAAUGAGCAAACCAAAGGAGCGUUUGACCCUUGAUGUACCCUCACACAAUGCAGCAGUUUUUAGUCUGGAGGCCCUAAUUUAGGUUCGAUAGCCCAAAUUAUAGACAAUAAUUCAAUAUUCUUUGUGGGGAGCUGAGCAAGUGUCACCCUGCCAUUUGUUUAGCUUAUCAUUUUUUCCUGCCUCUUUAUUUAUGUAUUUUUUUUCCCUUUUCAUUAUUUUCCAACCUGGCCUCCCUGCUCCACCUCCAGCAUUGAUUCCUGACCUUGUUUCCACUGAGAGGUCUGAAGAUCUCUGCGCUCUGAAGGAAUUCAUUAACCUUUCCCCCUGCCCAGAACUAGAGAGAAAAUCUUUAUAUUUUUAAGUAAAGCAAAUAAACACGGUUGGUGAUUAUUGGAGUCCCCUCUGCUGCUCCUGAAGAGCUCAUUUGCUAGCUUAGGAACCACUUUCGGGCUUGUAUCUUUUGUGUAAUUUUUGACGGCUCUUUGAAAUCAUUGUUUGAGCACCUACUAAUUUUAGCAGGAGCCAGGAUUCCCCUCAGGUGCGUUCUGUGCUCUGUUCCCACAUUUUUCGGGUAUAAAGCAGGCUCCUCUUUGCUUUGCUUUGCUUUGCUGCAGCGGGGAGGCCCCCGCCCCGGUCCCAGCCUCUCCCCUUCCUCCAGGGUGGUUAAAGGGCAGCUUAGACCCCCUGCAAGCGGGAGCCUCGUCCUUGUGCCCUGCCCUGCUGCCCGGGUGCCCAGGGUCCCUUCCCUGUGCCAGCAGCUCCCUCGGGCAGAAGCAGCGUCCUCGAGGCUGCAAAACCGCGCCGGGGCUGGGCUACGUCCCCAGAGCGCGGUCGGGUCCGGAGGCGGUCGGGUCCGGGGCCGGGGAGCCGCGCUCCGCUUCCCGCAGCACGCGGAUUCAGCGCCCUGCACCGUGGGGAAGCGGCAAGGAGCUGGGCAGACCCGUCCAGACGUUCAGAAAGCAGCUGCUUUGAUUUAAACGCGAUGUCAUUUUAAUCACUCAGCCCCUUGCAGACGAGAGUGGGAGAAGCUGUUAAAGGAAGCAUUUAGCUAUGGUUAUCCACAGGUAGGUCACUAAAUUCAUUAAGUUAAUUAAUUACACGUGGAACAUUCACUGUGUCCACAAGUGUUUGAACCAUGAGGAGGAAGGUGUUAGAGCUGGGAGGAGGACAGAAAGUCAGUUUUGCAGAGGGAUGGUGAGAUUUUGAUACUUGGCUUCCUUUUCGUUGGAGCAAACCUGAAUGUUUGGAAAUGCUUUGCUCGGGUGAAGGUAGCAAAAACCUGUUCCAAGAGGACUGAUACAUAAUUUGGCAAAAAUACUGUUUUGGUAAAAUAAAACAGUUCAUUUUUAGGUUUUAAAAUAUUAUAAAGAGUAAUUAAAAAUAAUAAAAGUUGUUCCAAGAGUAGAAGUUGAACACCGUUGGACCACUCCUUCAUCACUGCCUGUUUCUCACCAAAACUUUGUUUGGGGAAAUUCGGCAUGGUUUUGUGAAGUGUCCAUAUUGUUUGUGCAAGACCUGUGUUUUCCAGAGGCCUGUCCAGCUCCUGCCGCUCCGCAGGGCUGACGUGCUGCCGGGGACGUUCCCUCCUGCUUCAGCCCGAGUCAAAGAACAAAGGGACCAAGUGGUCACCGGGGGCCUUUGGAAGGAUCGCCACACCGCCGUGACGCAGCCCGGAGCACCUCUGCCGGGUCCGGCCACGCUGCGCCUGUGCCUUGCCGUGCUGCCCAACGGAGAGCCGAAGCAAGCAUCUCCUCCUGCGGCUCUCCGUGCUGUUUCCAGUCACUUCUCCUCGGCGUUAUAAAUCAUGCUAUUUGAAUAGAAGCUUAUACAGUUAGUUGCCUGAAAGAUUUUACUGAUUAACCUUAAAAUAUGCUAUAAAUCUUAUUCUCUUACUUGCUCAUGGAGCAUUGAGAAAGCAAACAGAUUCCUCUACCGUUCCCAUCUCACGCGCACGGCCGCGGAGGCUCCGUCGAUGCCGGGACGAAGGGCUGCCAGGAGCUCCCGGGGCAGCAGGGCUCCGUGGCGGCGGUUUGCAGGUACCGGUCUGCUCCCGGCGACGGUCUGGAACUAGCACCGCAGUAAGAAGGUGGGUUUUACGCUGUCCUGGCCUCUGGUUGACAUAUAUGAGUUGAUGGUGCGUCAGAUGGCUCAGGUCUUCAGCUGCCCUUCUGGAGGUGGUCGAGGAUGUCAGCUGGCGAGCAGGUAAUUCCAGUCUCCUUGCCUGAGCUUUGCCUAGGUUCAAAAUAAUGUUUUUUUUCACCUUCACCUUUUUCACUUUUCACCAUUUUUCACCUUGUUCUUCUCACCUUCCUGAAAAACGCAUUAAAACCGUAGUCGCUGAGGUGCGGUGUGUCCGGCCAGGCAGUUGCAGAGGAGCUGCUACGUUCUUCCCCAGAUGUGCCCAUGCUGCAAGUGUAGAUGAACCAACCUCUCCAUACAGCAAUCCGCACGGCAUUUGUGAGCCAGGCGUUUAGAAACACUGACUACGCGCUCAUUGGGCCUGUGAUCUUCUUAUGCUGGAGUUCAAGGAGAUGCACAGAUAUUAAAUACUGCAGCCAGUUUCUUGACUGGACAGCACAACAAGCAGCUCCUGUUAAAUUAUAUUUUCUACGUGUACAUGUAGGGUUUUCUGGAAAUGCUUUGUGUUGAUGCUGCUCUGCUUCUGAUGAAAUCUGAGGGAUAGUUAUACCAAUGUGAUGUUUCAGUACCUCUCCCUUCAUGCUUUGCUAUGUGUCAGAGCCUUGCAAAUUCCUUAGUGGCGUACCUGAGUUUCUGAGCCUUAUGAACUAGCAAGUUCCUGCAAAAUAAGUGUAAGUAGUAAGAAAAAUGUAUCACAAAUACGUAUUACUCAUCAUGCUACUGCUUUAUGCUGCUCUGUGAUAUACUAAUAGAGACCAUGUGGUUUUAAAAAUAUAUUAAAAGCAUUUCUCCUUUCAGUGCUACCUGUGCUCUACCAAAAAGCAAGGGGGAGGCAGUCAGUUUUCUAGCUGAGUACCUGUUGUGUAGACCACAGCUUCCAGCUCUGCCAGGCUGCACGGUCUUUUUAAACUUUCCAUAAUCCCUCCUUAUGACCUUUGGUGGCAAGAAAACCAACUGAAAUAGCCAAAGCAAAGUAAUAUUUAACAAAAACUUCCUUGUCUACUACUGAGCCGAGGGCCUACGUACCAACCUGCAAGAUGUUGUUGUCUGUCUGGCACUGAUGAGGUAAGAUCCCAUUUAGUGGCAUCACUCAGAACUUGUCAUAUUAUGGUAUGUCACAACAUGUCAGCGUCUGACAGGCUGGAUACCUGCUAUUAACUUACAGACUAGUAGCAAAUACAAAAUACAGGUGAUGAAUAACGGCAGAGCCAAGAGCAGAGCGAAUGCCCUUUCUGGGGCGGUCAGGGUAUUGCUACUGCAAGCCCAGCUUUGCAGAGAAGCCCUCGGCUUCAAUACACUCAGCUUUCACCAAAAAAAAAGAAAGUAGGAAGAGGGUAGGAUUUUAGAAAAUGCAUGAGUGACCUAGGACCGCAUGUCUCGUGGAAUACAUGUGUAUGCUAGUAUCUGCUUUUCAUGAUGCUUCACGAUGUAAAAAGCACCUACCUAAUGCAGAGACCACUGUCUCCACGUAAAGUUCCUGAGAUACGAACGCAGAAUCCUCCAACGUUCUUACAAAAACGUUGGCUAUCAUUACUUGAACUUAUUGAACUAACAAGUUUUUUUUUUUUUUCCAAAGGCACAAGCCAAACCUAAAAAAUACCCCCUAACAUGCCGUAGCCAAAUAUAAGACUCCUAGGCAAAGAUCAAAAAGCUCAAAAGCUAUGUUGUAUACUGGUGAGAAAGCAGGAGAGAUCAAGGGCUCAUAGGGACUUUGUGCAGUGAGACCACUCAGACGGCCGCGCUAAAGACAAGGGAAACCUCCAAAGUGGAUCCAGACAGUCUUCUUUGGGAAAAAUUCCUUCCUGACAGCAGAGCACCAGUUUAAUCUUGAUACAGCAUCUGGGCACCGGUGUUCUCAGUGCUGCUAGAAGAAACAGCACCUGCAGUCAACAUCCCUUCUGUAGCUGUGGCUGAUAUCUGAUGCUUCGGAGAAAGGUGGAAAAACAACACAACGCUGGAAGCCAAGCCAUGCACCAGGCGGGCGGGGAAUUCCUUCCUGCUCCUACAUCUGGCCUGCGGAAAUCCCUGAAGCAUGAGUUUAAUUAAUUGGCUGCCUGUAAGUACGGUACAACAAACAGUAGAUCAAGUCUCCUUUUGCCCCUGUUGGUGAUAUAAUUCAAGCCUCAAAUCAUGGGUUUAAUUACGGGAUCACCCUGUCUUGUCAUACAGUUCCUCCCAUGAAUUUAGCAAGCUCUGUCUGGAAGCACGCUGCACUUCUUGCCUCCGCGGCCUUGCCUGGGGGGACUCGCAGAGUUGCCCUGGACCGAACCAGGGAGAGUCCUGCUGCAGCGGGUGAUGUGCACAGGCCGUCGCACCCGAAGCGGGGCACGCAGGA